UAUAUAUAUAGUACCCACUGACAAAAUUUGAACAAUACAGAGAAGAUUAGCGUGAUCCCUGAGCAAGGAUGACGUGUAAAUUCAUGAAGCAUCCAAGCAGGCA
ensembl:snRNA U6 U6 spliceosomal RNA